CAGGACGAACGCUGGCGGCGUGCCUAAUACAUGCAAGUCGAGCGAAGUGGAGAGAGCUUGCUCUCGAAGCUUAGCGGCGAACGGGUGAAUAACACGUGGGCAACCUGCCCGAUAGACCGGGAUAACUUGGGGAAACUCAAGCUAAUACCGGAUAGGAUCAUUGACCGCCUGGUUGGUGAUGGAAAGUCUGAACGACACUAUCGGAUGGGCCCGCGGCGCAUUAGCUAGUUGGUGGGGUAACGGCCUACCAAGGCGACGAUGCGUAGCCGACCUGAGAGGGUGACCGGCCACACUGGGACUGAGACACGGCCCAGACUCCUACGGGAGGCAGCAGUAGGGAAUCUUCCACAAUGGGCGAAAGCCUGAUGGAGCAACGCCGCGUGAGUGAUGAAGGUUUUCGGAUCGUAAAACUCUGUUGUUAGGGAAGAACACCCGGGAGAGGAUCCCGGUUUGACGGUACCUGACGAGAAAGCCCCGGCUAACUACGUGCCAGCAGCCGCGGUAAUACGUAGGGGGCAAGCGUUGUCCGGAAUUAUUGGGCGUAAAAGCGCGCGCAGGCGGCUUACUAAGUCUGGUGUGAAAGCCCACGGCUCAACCGUGGAGGGCCAUUGGAAACUGGUAAGCUUGA
rnacentral:rRNA from 1 species